rnacentral:rRNA from 1 species
UACGAAGGGUGCAAACGUUGCUCGGAAUUAUUGGGCGUAAAGCGCACGUAGGCGGCUUCGCAAGUCCCAUGUGAAAGCCCACGGCUUAACCGUGGAAGUGCAUGGGAAACUGCAGAGCUUGAGUACUUAAGAGGAUCGCGGAAUUCCCGGUGUAGAGGUGAAAUUCGUAGAUAUCAUGAGGAAUACCAGAGGCGAAGGCGGCUCCCUGGACAAUAGCUGACACUCAGGCACGAAAAGCGUGGGGAGCAAAAGGG